rnacentral:rRNA from 1 species
GAUGAACGCUGGCGGCGUGCCUAAUACAUGCAAGUCGAGCGAACGGACGAGAAGCUUGCUUCUCUGAUGUUAGCGGCGGACGGGUGAGUAACACGUGGAUAACCUACCUAUAAGACUGGGAUAACUUCGGGAAACCGGAGCUAAUACCGGAUAAUAUUUUGAACCGCAUGGUUCAAAAGUGAAAGACGGUCUUGCUGUCACUUAUAGAUGGAUCCGCGCUGCAUUAGCUAGUUGGUAAGGUAACGGCUUACCAAGGCAACGAUGCAUAGCCGACCUGAGAGGGUGAUCGGCCACACUUGAACUGAGACACGGUCCAGACUCCUACGGGAGGAAGCAGUAGGGAAUCUUACGCAAUGGGCGAAAGCCUGACGGAGCAACGCCGCGUGAGUGAUGAAGGUCUUCGGAUCGUAAAACUCUGUUAUUAGGGAAGAACAUAUGUGUAAGUAACUGUGCACAUCUUGACGGUACCUAAUCAGAAACCCACGGCUAACUACGUG